AGCGAUCAAAGCAAAGACUAAUGCACCGUGAUCCCAUCGUAAUUCGCAUAUGUAUGGCGAGAGUAGUACUAGGAUGGGUGACCCCCUGGGAAGUCCUCGUGUUGCA